UCACGCUUUUAUAGGCCUAAGUGUUCAGUGUUUGUGCAAUAUUGUGUUGUUUUUGAAUAUCUUUGUAAUCUCUGAUUUGUAUAUGAUUUCCCUUAAAUGUUCUUGCUAAUUUCUUUUGAAUUGUUUCCUUACUUUGGUAUGCUUUCCUUACUUAGAAGCAAUUCUCUCUGAUUUUCAGGUCUUGCCCGAGAUUCUUUGACUAAUUGGUAGAAUUAGCUUAUAUUUUCCCAUCCAUAUUUGUGCAUAAAUAGCCUUCACUAUAUUUUCCUAACUUAAGUUGCUAUGUAUCUGACCCUUAUGGUAUAUUAUAUGCUUGCUACUUUUACUAAGCUAAACACAUCAGUUAAUUGAUUCUUUUCCUAUUUUUAAAACUGAUGUUUGUUACCG
rnacentral:lncRNA from 1 species